CAUUAUCAACCAUCAAGCCUGGCUUGUCGUUGGACCUUUGGUCGUUGGGACCGGUCCGAAAGAUAAUGGACGGGUGUCUAGUGGCCCUCGAUGCAACGAGCUUGUUUAACAGCACGCAUCGCCGCGGUCGGUACCGCCCCACCCCAAUCCAUUUUUUUCAGGUUGACCUCGGAUCAGGUAGGAAUACCCGCUGAACUUAA
rnacentral:misc_RNA from 1 species